rnacentral:misc_RNA from 1 species
GAUGAAGAACGUAGCGAAAUGCGAUAAGUAAUGUGAAUUGCAGAAUUCAGUGAAUCAUCGAAUCUUUGAACGCACAUUGCGCCCGCCAGUAUUCUGGCGGGCAUGCCUGUUCGAGCGUCAUUACAACCCUCAGGCCCCCGGGCCUGGCGUUGGGGAUCGGCGGAAGCCCCCUGCGGGCACAACGCCGUCCCCCAAAUACAGUGGCGGUCCCGCCGCAGCUUCCAUUGCGUAGUAGCUAACACCUCGCGACUGGAGAGCGGCGCGGCCACGCCGUAAAACACCCAACUUCUGAAUGUUGACCUCGAAUCAGGUAGGAAUACCCGCUGAACUUAAGCAUAUCAAUAAGCGGAGGA